UAGGCACACUCAGACUUUUAAAAGUCAUAUGCCCACUUCUCUGACUGGUGACCAGUUUAGAGGGCAUAGGCAUAUGGUAAGCAAGGCCACAGCUAGAGAAAAUCUGACAAGUCAAGCCAAGCUGGUCUAGGUAUUUCUCAGUGUUCAGUUUUUAUCUUUUCUAGUCUGGCCUUCUUCCUAGGCACCUCCAGACUCCUAAUACCUUUCUCACACUUCUGUGCAUUGCAGAAUUUUCCCGUUAGAGUUUCUCAGAACACCUUUCUAUGAUGUCUUCUUUCCCAGAACUUUCAGGCAUUUUCAAAUCUAUUCCCCAAGCAUCAUUCCCCCACUGCUGGCUAACUAGUCAGUUAAAGAAAAUAAUCAGGGCCGUGGGGAUAAUGGUUAGUAAUAACCUAAUCUUUUUCAUAUAAUAGGGACUCUUCAGGGACUUCACCCCAAGAAUCUGUUGGGGCCAGAGGUAAAGGAGCUUCUGGGGUUUGUGUAAGAAUGUUAUAUUUAAGACCAGAUCUGGAUGAAGAACUUAAUUUGACAUAUGUCAGAGUUUUCUUCAGUUCAAGCCAAUGUAGUAAAUAUUAAUUAAAUGUGACUCCAUGACAGAGGUUGAAGUUUUUUUCACUCUCCUAUAAGUGCCAGUUCAGUUCUCAGGACAGUUCAAACAAAUAUAGGAUUCAUUACUGGGAAAGGUUUCUGCACUCAACUGCUGCUUCUUUUCCAAGUCUGGUAACCUGGGGAAUAUAAUCUAAAUAGAAACCCAAGGUCUUCAUUACUUCUCUCUGCCUUAAACCCACAGCAAAUCCCCAGACAUCAAUCUCCUGCUUCUCAUCCUCCAGACUCCACAUGGCCCCUCUUAGAGCUCCAGAUUCGCAAGUGCCUUCUAAAGGAAAGUGACCCUGAUGUCAAACAAGAGAGAAAAGGAGAGAACACGGAGAUGAGAAAGUAGUACAGUUACUCAUAUCAGUGAAACCUCAGUUUGUGCUCUUCAGGCCCUCAACUGAUUGAAGAAGGCCCACCUAUACAACCAAAGGUAUGGCAAAGAACAACAUGAACUCAGAUCAUACUGCUUCAUGUCUCCAUGCUCUUGUACAAGCUGUAACCACCCUCUGCAAUGCACCCUCUCAUGUUGUCCACUUCUUCCUUGAAUAUAUUUCCUAUUCACUUAGAUUAUACCCUUUUAGUAAGGCAUGGGUCAUGGCACUGAAAGAAAUUGGAAGAUUCAAGAGCUAUUCAGGAGGGAGAUCAAUGGGACUUUGUGACUGAUGGCUUUUGAAAAUGAGAAAGGGAAAGACAAUGUGAAACAACAGCCAGGUGCCUACCUUGAACAAGGUGACUGGUGGAGUUAUUCACAGAUGAAUGGGAUCAAUAGAUUAAUAGAUCUGGCAGAGAAGCUGUUCAUUUCUGUUUGGACGCACUGAGUUUGAGUUGUCUAUGAGUCAUGGUGAAAAUAUAUACAGGAAAGAUAGUGCUCAGGACAGAGAUCUGAACAAAGUGUACAGAUCUGGGAUGCGUCCUAUAUAAACAACAGUUGAAGCCAUGGGAAUGGAAGGAGUCACAUGGAAUUACAUGGAGAAGACCAGGGGCAGAAUCCUGGAAAAACAUCAUAAUUUGAAGAAAGAGGCAGAAAGAAGUUCCUCGGAAGGAGAUGAGAAUAAAUUAUCAAAGAAGUUAGAAGGAGAAUCAGGAGAAUGUUGUGUCACAAAAUAAAAGCAACCAGUCAGUAUUAGAUGGAGCAGAGAAGUCAAAAAAGAUGAGGUUCAAAAUGCCAUCCAUUGACAUUAACAAUAAGAUCAUUGGUCAUCCUGAAAUGAAUAUUUUCAGUAAAUGGGGUAGAAGCCAGAGCCUGGGUGGCUCAGUCAGUUAAGCAUCCAACUUCAGCUCAGGUCAUGAUCUCACGGUUCGUGGGUUCAAGCCCCACGUCAGGUUCUGUGCUGACAGCUCAGAGCCUGGAGCCUGCUUCUGAUUCUGUGUCUCCCUCUUUCUUUUCCCUUCCCCCCGUCUCAAAAAUAAACAAACAUUUAAAAAAUUCAAAAAAAAAAAGAAGACUGGAUAGGACUUCAAGUGGAAGCAGCAAGUGAAGAUAAAUCUUGCACUGACUGUUUUCAUCUUUUCUGAGUAAGUAAUGAGAGAGAUUAUUAGAUUCUAACAGUCUGGAUCCAGUCAUAAGACUGAGACCACACGAGAUUUAAACUGGGGAAGUUUAAUACAAGGAAUUAUUAAACUAUAAUAAAAGAGUAACUUUAGGGUAUAAGAUUACUCUUUAUGGAAUCCUAGGACAGAAGGAGAUGGACAAACUUGGAAGGCAGCCCUCUCCCCAAGGCCAUGGUUCAAAUCUCAUUGGAGAAAUAUGUAUUUGAACCUAGUGAAUGGCAGAGAAGUUUGCUGAUUUGCUGGCCAGAGCUGAUCUGCAGUCACAGGAGAAACAGGAAUGAACCCUCUGGCAUGCAGUGAUGGCUGGUGAGCCACAGCUGGUGGCCAGUGCAUGGGUGUUCAGUAGCAGUGGGACACCAGGCCUCCUGAAGCCCAGGUAGAGGCCUGAUGUCCCUGUGGGGGGGAAUGUGAGGUUGGGAGGAGCACAGCAUGGGGAGGACAAUGGGCAUCACACCUAAGGAGGGGGUUGAGUGCAAACAAUCAGAGAGCCAAUACCAACAAGAGCCUCCUGUAUAGCCUGUACAGGAUAUCUGUAUAGAGGGGGCAGUAGGAAGAUGAUCAUUGGGCUGUGCUGGGGCUGCAAUGUCCCUGAGGGCCAGUGCCUGCUGGGUGAGUGCCUAGGGCCAAAUACCACCAGAUGUCCUCACACCCACACUGCUCAUCCACCGCUCUACAGCCAGAAACCUCAAGAGAGCCCCUUCCUCCUGCAGUGUCCCUCCAGCGUGCUCUACCGAGAAAGCUUAACAUCAUGCUCACUUAACAGAGAAAUGCUUAAAGCAAUUCCAUCCAUUAUCACAGAGUAUAUAUUUGAAGGGUGGAUUUGGA